rnacentral:lncRNA from 1 species
UAUAUAGCUCUCCCCUUCUGCUAAAGGGUUAGCUCUUUCCAGAGAGUAAAUUCCUGUAAGUGGGAUAAGUGGAUCAAAGCAUACAGAUAUUCACCUUGCAAACUAACUGCCCACCCCUCACUGUGUCUAAGACACUUCCUAUCCAUAAAGAUGGUGGUAACCUUUGUUCUUAAUAUGCACAGAAAAAGAUGAAAAACGCAGUGGAAAAAUGAACAAGGGAUCUGAGUGUCAUCGUAAACACUCAAACCUGUUCAACUUCACUUAGAAUUAGAGACUUAGAAAUCCCUGUCCAUGAAAAACCCAUCUGAAUGGCAAGGAUCACAAGUUUGGCCACAUGCCGUACAAUGGGCUUCAAUCUAGAUCUCAGCAUCCUGCCUCAGCAUCCUAGGGUUCAACGAUAAUUGUGCACCACCACGCCCUGUCUCAAAA